GAUGAACGCUAGCGGCAGGCCUAAUACAUGCAAGUCGAACGGAGCAGCAAUGCUCAGUGGCGCACGGGUGCGUAACGCGUAUGCAACCUACCUUUCAGUGGGGGAUAGCCCGGGGAAACCCGGAUUAAUACCGCAUAAUAUAAUUGAGUGGCAUCACUUACUUAUUAAACAUUUAUGGCUGAAAGAUGGGCAUGCGUUAGAUUAGCUAGUUGGUGAGGUAGCAGCUCACCAAGGCGAUGAUCUAUAGGGGUUCUGAGAGGAAGAUCCCCCACACUGGUACUGAGAUACGGACCAGACUCCUACGGGAGGCAGCAGUAGGGAAUAUUGGGCAAUGCCCGCAAGGGUGACCCAGCCAUGCCGCGUGCAGGAAGAAGGCUUUCUGAGUUGUAAACUGCUUUUGGAAGGGAACAAAACGGGCAUGCGUGCCAACUUGAGUGUACCUUCAGAAUAAGCACCGGCUAACUCCGUGCCAGCAGCCGCCGUAAAAC
rnacentral:rRNA from 1 species